rnacentral:misc_RNA from 1 species
GAUGAAGAACGCAGCGAAAUGCGAUAAGUAAUGUGAAUUGCAGAAUUCAGUGAAUCAUCGAAUCUUUGAACGCACAUUGCGCCCGCCAGUAUUCUGGCGGGCAUGCCUGUCUGAGCGUCAUUUCAACCCUCAAGCAACUUCUGCUUGGUGUUGGGGAUCGGCCGUUAAACGCCGCCCCCGAAAUCUAUUGGCGAUCUCGCUGUAGCUUCCUAUGCGUAGUAGUAACAUCUCGCAUCUGGAGAGCGGCGCGGUCAUGCCGUAAAACACCCAACUUCUCAGGUUGACCUCAGAUCAGGAAGGAAUACCCGCUGAACUUAAGCAUAUCAAUAAGCGGAGGA